AGGAUGACGCGCUAGGUUCGGACAAAACGGCAGACAGCCAGGUGAAAUAUGAUGGUGGGUGGGGGUAAUUGCUCUUAUUGGCCUUGUUCUCCUGGUCUUGCUAUGUUCAGAUACCGUGGAACCAGCUGUACCUCCACCGUCAUGGGCAGGGAUUGUACAUAUUGAUAAUUCUAUAAACACUGGAUUUAAUGGCGUCUCGGACGGUAUGAGGAUACUCGAUCCCAACUCAGUGCUUCGGACCCGUAAGGGUGAUUACGAGGCAGACGGUGCACGCUGGGGAGCACCGUUGAAAACAGGAAAGCACAUGUUCGAGAUUCUAUUGGCCAAG